UGAUGAAGGAUGAAGUGUUGACUGAUGCGU
rnacentral:piRNA from 1 species